rnacentral:rRNA from 1 species
AGAGUUUGAUCAUGGCUCAGGAUGAACGCUGGCGGUAUGCCUAACACAUGCAAGUCAUACGAGAGUUUUUAACUCAAGUGGCGGACGGGUGAGUAACACGUGAGAAUUCACCUUUAGGAGGGGGACAACAACUGGAAACGGUUGCUAAUACCCCAUAUGCUUUCGAGUGAAAUGAAUUUAUUCGCCUGAAGAGAAGCUCGCGGCUGAUUAGCUUGUUGGUAGGGUAAGAGCCUACCAAGGCGACGAUCAGUAUCUGGUUUGAGAGGACGAUCAGACACACUGGAACUGAGACACGGUCCAGACUCCUACGGGAGGCAGCAGUGGGGAAUUUUCCGCAAUGGGCGAAAGCCUGACGGAGCAAUACCGCGUGAGGGAAGACGGCCUAUGGGUUGUAAACCUCUUUUUUCAGGGAGGAAUUCAAUGACGUGUACCUGAAGAAUAAGCAUCGGCUAACUCCGUGCCAGCAGCCGCGGUAAGACGGAGGAUGCAAGUGUUAUCCGGAAUCACUGGGCGUAAAGCGUCUGUAGGUUGUUAAACAAGUCAACUGUUAAAUCUUGAGGCUCAACUUCAAAAUCGCAGUCGAAACUGUUUGACUAGAGUAUAGUAGGGGUAAAGGGAAUUUCCAGUGGAGCGGUGAAAUGCGUAGAUAUUGGAAAGAACACCAAUGGCGAAGGCACUUUACUGGGCUAUUGCUGACACUCAGAGACGAAAGCUAGGGUAGCAAAUGGGAUUAGAUACCCCAAUAGUCCUAGCCGUAAACAAUGGAUACUAGAUGUUGAACAGAUCGACCUGUGCAGUAUCAAAGCUAA